GUUCCAUCAUUUUCCACACUGUGUAAAAAGAGAUAAUAAGCAAAAUCAUCAAGAACAGCAAGUGGAAUCGGUACCAGGCUGUGUCAUUAUGGUUAUGCCAACAUCAAAUAUCUAAAUUCAAUAUUGAUUUAAGCAAAGGAUAAAAAAGAUGAGAAUGAGUAUACGUACUGGCCAAACUCCCCGAGGAUGAUGGCCCCGAUGCCGAGCAUUGCUACGGCAACGAGUAUGUAAGUGGAGAUGCGGGUUUGCAGCCACGAGGCCCCUACUACCUUCAGCAUGGCUCAUCGGUAAGCUAAACACCUUGGUUCGAAAGAAAAAAAAA